rnacentral:rRNA from 1 species
UACAGAGGUCUCAAGCGUUGUUCGGAUUCAUUGGGCGUAAAGGGUGCGUAGGUGGUGAUGCAAGUCUGGUGUGAAAUCUCGGAGCUCAACUCCGAAAUUGCACCGGAUACUGCGUGACUCGAGGACUGUAGAGGAGAUCGGAAUUCACGGUGUAGCAGUGAAAUGCGUAGAUAUCGAGAGGAACACCUGCGGCGAAGGCGGGUUGCUGGGCUGACACUGACGCUGAUGCGCGAAAGCCAGGGGAGCGAACGGG